UGGAAUGCUUUAAAAGCUGGAUACAAUGUCU
rnacentral:piRNA from 1 species